rnacentral:rRNA from 1 species
GACGAACGCUGGCGGCGUGCUUAACACAUGCAAGUCGAACGGAAAGGCCCUGCUUUUGUGGGGUGCUCGAGUGGCGAACGGGUGAGUAACACGUGAGUAACCUGCCCUUGACUUUGGGAUAACUUCAGGAAACUGGGGCUAAUACCGGAUAGGAGCUCCUGCUGCAUGGUGGGGGUUGGAAAGUUUCGGCGGUUGGGGAUGGACUCGCGGCUUAUCCGCUUGUUGGUGGGGUAGUUGCUUACCAAGGCUUUGACGGGUAGCCGGCCUGAGAGGGUGACCGGCCACAUUGGGACUGAGAGACGGCCCAGACUCCUACGGGAGGCAGCAGUGGGGAAUAUUGCACAAUGGGCGGAAGCGUGAUGCAGAAACGCCGCGUGCGGGAUGACGGCCUUCGGGUUGUAAACCGCUUUCGCCUGUGACGAAGCGUGAGUGACGGUAAUGGGUAAAGAAGCACCGGCUAACUACGUG